AAUGAACGCUGGCGGCGUGCUUAACACAUGCAAGUCGAACGGAAAGGCCCAAGCUUGCUUGGGUACUCGAGUGGCGAACGGGUGAGUAACACGUGGGUGAUCUGCCCUGCACUUCGGGAUAAGCCUGGGAAACUGGGUCUAAUACCGGAUAGGACGAUGGUUUGGAUGCCAUUGUGGAAAGUUUUUUCGGUGUGGGAUGAGCUCGCCGCCUAUCAGCUUGUUGGUGGGGUAAUGGCCUACCAAGGCGUCGACGGGUAGCCGGCCUGGGAGGGUGUACGGCCACAUUGGGACUGAGAUACGGCCCAGACUCCUACGGGAGGCAGCAGUGGGGAAUAUUGCACAAUGGGCGCAGGCCUGAUGCAGCGACGCCGCGUGGGGGAUGACGGCCUUCGGGUUGUAAACUCCUUUCGCUAGGGACGAAGCGUUUUUGUGACGGUACCUGGAGAAGAAGCACCGGCUAACUACGUG
rnacentral:rRNA from 1 species